rnacentral:rRNA from 1 species
UACGUAGGGGGGCAAGCGUUGUCCGGAUUUAUUGGGCGUAAAGAGCGUGUAGGCGGCCAGACAGGUCCACUGUGAAAACUCGAGGCUCAACCUCGAGAGGUCGGUGGAAACCGUCUGGCUAGAGUCCGGAAGAGGAGAGUGGAAUUCCCGGUGUAGCGGUGAAAUGCGCAGAUAUCGGGAAGAACACCCGUGGCGAAGGCGGCUCUCUGGGACGGUACUGACGCUGAGACGCGAAAGCGUGGGGAGCGAACAGG